rnacentral:lncRNA from 1 species
UUUCGUGACAGCAAACAACAAGACCGUAGCACUGUUCGACGAGUGGUAUGGGUGGAGGAACAACUCGAAAGGCAUGAAAGAUCAAGAUGUGCUGCAGAAGAUGAAGAAGGAGGGAGCGUUCACGCGGCUGGGGCUGAAAGUGAGGUACCUGGAGACUACCUAUUUUAGUGGGUUCUGUCAAAUGAGUCAGGACUUGAGGAAAGUGAUUACGGUUCAUGCGAACUGUUGUGUCAGCAUGAAAGUUAAGCUCAUAGACCUGAGAUGUGUGCUUGAAGCUUGGAAGGUUAGCAACACGAAUGGCACAUCAAAUGCUACUACGACUGCAUGGCCUCCGGUCAAGGGAAUCUGCUUGCACGACACUGCCACCAAGCAGCACACUGCCACAAAGCACUGAAGUGAACAGGGUAAGAUGACCAAGGUUUCUGUGCAUUCAUAACUCGAGAGAGAGACUUGUCGAUCCAUGUAUCACUUAUGUGUUCCAUACAAUUAUAAAUGCUCCCCGUACCAGUUUAAAGCAAAGGUGCAGGAUGACAUUUUUAGCCUAUACUUAGCACCGACGAGCAAUAAAGAGAGAAAAAAUAAAAAGGAAGAGAAAAAAUAAUAAUUAAAAAUUAAGAAGAAGAAAAAAAAAAGGAUAAUUGUCAUUCUCAUUCUUAACUCGAGAAUACUCCUAUAAUGUAGUUUGAUGCUUCCGUACAUCCUGUGAUCGAUGAAACUAUUCUAUCGAAAAGCAGUUUAUAUUAAAAUAACUCAAUUCAUUGAUCUUCUUCUCAUCGAUCAAUGCACCCUCUAUUUGUAGGUCCAAAUAUAAAAUAAUAAAUUGUAAACAGAUAAGUGUUUACAAAAGUUUUAAUCAGAAUUUAUAAUCUUCAAUCAUAAUCAUUCGUAAUCAUAAUUUGAUUUAUUAUAUUUUUAAUAUUUUUUUAUUUCUUGAGUAAAUUAUGAAAGUAGGUUAGAAUUAUUCACACCUAUGUAAAAUAAUAUUUAAAUUAAUCAAAUAUAUUUAAAUAAAUGAUAGACUAAAUUGAGAUAUCAUUUCCUUUCGUAAAUUAGAGUAUUAUUAAGAUCUUAAACGGGACUUAAGAAUGGGAGACCCGCGAGUAACUCGUGUACAGCAUUAUAAAGACCAACUUGACCACAUACAAUAAACCAAAAUGAAAUUAUUCGUAAGACCUUGGAGGGACCUCGGAAAAAUGAGGCACCCAUGAACAGCUCAUGUACGUCAUGAUAAAGACCCACCUGACCACAUUCAUCAAAUGCCAAACUCAUGCACUUAAAAGAUGAACGAGAAGUUGGGAAAGAGAGACUAUUGGUAGCUAUAGUGCAAAUUGAACUUAAAUUUCAUGUUGCUCGAGUUCUCAUAUAUUCGUUCCUAAAGUUUCGUUCUUGUGUUUGCCAGCCGGCAAACUCCAGCAAGUUGUGGCAGAAAACUGAAAACUCCAAGGCAGAGAUGAAAUGUUUUGUAUAGAAUGCUUAAAUAAAUAUUAUUUUUUACAUCAAAUUUGGGAUCGAAUUUUUAUUAAGUGAGGAGCAAUAUAAUUAUACAUGAUCUUUUUCUCCCUUAAUAUAAAUUAAUUAUCAUAAAUAUAUAUUAUUUCAAUUAAAUUAUUAACUUUCUUGUUUGUAUAACAUGAUUAAGGAAAUAAAUUAGUAAUUUUAUCACAUGGAUAAAUUAGUAAUUUUAUCCAUGGAUAAAUUAGUAAUUUUAUCAAUUAAUUAAAUUAUUAAUUAAUUUUAUUUUUAAUGAGUGAUGUACUUUUUGAAAAUAAAUAAUUUAAAUUUAAAUAUUAUAAUUCUAUCUUUGUGUUUAAAAAUAAAUUAAAAUUAAAAAUUAAAUUAUUACUUAUCUUUUUUGAAAAAAAUAAGUCAAGCAUGACCCAGUUUAAUAAUAAGACUCAGCAUAAUUUGUGAGUGAGACUCAAUCUAUCAUAUGAAAUUAGGCCCAUCCAACUAUGUGACCAGCCUAAAUAUGUCAUUGUCUAUUUAUUCAAUCCAUUAUACCUCAACCUAAUUUCAGAUAGACAUAUAUGGUGCACGUGACUUAUCCAAGACUUAGAUGAAUUGAUUCGAUCUAGGAUAGCAUGAUGCGAUAUAUUUCAAUUUCCUAAUUUGAGCUCGUUAAUUGAUUGAAUUAGUGUUUGAUUGGCUCAAGUCAGUUCGAGGUUCUUCUAGACUAACUUGAUAAGUUUUAACCAACUUGACCUAAUUGAAAUCAAUUAAAUCUAAAAUAGAUCGGUGAUUUCAAACUAAUUUUAUAAUGAUUUAAGGUUGAUUCUUUUAGGUCCUAAGUGAAUUGAGUUUAGUUUAGGUCAAUUAGGCUAUUCUAAUUAGAGUUCUAUUUGAUUGAAGAUGAGGGAUUGAUGCCUCUUAUUUUUAUAAUUUAAUAAAUUUAAAAAUUAUAUCUAAAGGUGUCAUUUGAAAAUAAUUAUUAGUUUUUUAAAUUAAAUUGAUAAUAUUAAUAUGAUUAUUACCAUAUAGUAUAACUAUGUUGAGUGGUCUACGUUGGAAGUAUAACAUAUGAAAGGAGUUAUAUGUUAUUACAAUAUAAAGCCACCGGUCUAGUAGAUCAUAUAUUAAACAUAGUUUCUCAUAAUAUUUUAUCAUAUUAUUUAGAAGCAAGUAUGAAUAAAUAGAUGAAUAUAAAUGAAUGAUUAUGGUUGACUAUGUAUCUCUAUCGAGGGUAGGUAAGAUGAUUCCAUUAAAGGAUUAAUAACCUCUUAAACGUGAUGGUUAAAUGAUUUAUGUAUCUAUUAUUAGGAAGAACGUGUUCUUACUUGUUUGGGUGAUUAAUACGACUUUAUCUACUAUUGGGAGUGCAAUAGGAGUUUUCUUCAUUCGUUGUUGGGAUGAAUCCAUUUUAUAAAAUAUAUCUUUUCAUCUGUUGGGAGAGUAUAUCAUCUGGUAUAAUAUACACAUUUAUUAUCUCAUUGUUAUGUACGCAUAUAUACAAAUGUUAUAUAUGAUUGAUGCAUAAUUUUGUUUAUUAUAUAAAAAUUAUUAUUUUACUGAUAUAUAUGUUUCAUAAUAAAUUAAUAGUUUAUCAUGUUGUAUUAGAUUAUUGAUAUUUAUAUAUGUAUCAUGAAUAUUAAAAUUAUUUUUAUGAUUUUUUAGAAGUUACAAUCAAUAUAUAUGGCUAUUUAUAUGGUUUUAUUCUAUAUUUUUUUAAGUAAUCUACUAUUUUAUAAUAGAUAUGAGGUUUGGAUGGAAAUUUUUUUUAAUCACUCGUGACCCCAAAAAAUAUUUAAUAUUAUAAAUACAUUAAUUUAAUUUUUUUAAAAAAAUCUUCUGUAAAUAAUGAAUAAUAAAAUAAUAUUUUUUUUAAUUUAGGAUAUAACAUAAAAAGAUCAACAACAAGAAGUUGACAAUGAGAGACUUUAUCGGUAAAGAUGAAAGAAUACCAUAAGCUAUAGUGCACCUUAAUAUUAAGUCUGUAUGCUCUCGAUAUAGAUAUGUUAAUCACUUAAUAAGUUUUUUAGCUUAUAUUAUUAUUAUAUAAAAUUUUUAAGUUAGCUUGUCACUUAUUGAAAUAUUUGAAUUGAACUGAGACAGUGAAAAAUUAUUCAAAUUUUAGAUAUAUCUUAUUAAUUGGCACAUUAUAAUUGUUGUAUAAGUAUGUUUUGCAUGUAGUGAAAUAGAAGUAGAUGCUUGAAAAGAAGUAGACAUCUAAUUAGAGUGAAUAAGAUUAGCUAUCGAAGGCCACUCCGGUUGUGUAUGAAAUCCUGGUAGUAAUUAUGAUCUUACACUAUAAUAUUUGUCUUAUGUUAAAUAUCAAGUUGUAACUAUGACUCAUGCUCCACUAUAUAACACAGGAAGUACAGGAAUCUGACUUAUAGGUUAGGUUUGAUUCAAAUCUUAUGCUUGUAGAUUGAGUACAUUAAUUUUAAGAUUUUAGGUUAGGAUGGUAAAUGCACAUAAGUAUUUAUGUUAUUGAUUUUGAGACUCGAAGGGAAUAGUCUUAUGGUUAUAGAUCAUCACUGCAUUAAGAUUUAGAUUUCCACAUAUAAUAUUGUUAUCGUAUUUGAAGGUACUAACUAAUUUAAUGAAUAAAGAAAUUAAUAGUCUAAUGGUUGUACUUUUUGGGUUUGAAUCUUAUCUUUAGAUUUCACCAGUUACUCUUCAAUCUACUUGGUUCAAUAUUAGAACUGUAAAGACUAAAUAUGUAAUGGAAAGUAAAAUGAAAACUAACACAAAAAAAUAAAAAUGAAGAAAGAAAAAAAUAAAAAGAAAGAUUUGUCCAAAGAGCAAGAAAAGGAAACAUAGAGAGAACUUUGGAGUCUUUUCUUCAUUCUUACUCGAAGGUGAUCGAUAAUAGACUUCUAUGGUCAGCUAGAUAAAGAAACCCAGCUUGGACCAAAUAUGGAAGAGAGGGAGCAAAUAUUAUUUCAAAGAGUUGAAACUUAGAUCUCAUUUGAAAGAAAGCAAAAAUUUCAAGAGUUGAAUCGAUAUCACGAAAAUAAUAAUAAAAUUGUAAGUCAUAACUCUUUAAAAUCUCUCAUCAAACAUAUUAAAAAUUUAUAAUAAAAAAUAAAAAUUAUAAUAUAUAUAUAUAUAUAUAUAUACAUAUAUAUACAUAUAUGUAUGAAUACAUGUAUAUAUAUUUAUAUAUUUAUAUAUAUCACUAAAGCCUAUCCGAGAUGGCUGUCGAAGACGUCAUGUAGACAGUAAAUAUUGCAAAGCAGUAGAAAUGGUAACGAUCAAGGCACUAAAAAAUCCACCAACUCCCAACCCAUUCAUUCUUCCAAUAGCCAAUGAUCGCUUAUGUCAUUGCAGUCUGUCCAACACACGAAAACUAGGUUCCAAGGGAGAAGACAAGAAAGUCUUCCACAAAAGAAAAAACAGGGAAUGCUUAUGUGAUACCAACAGUUCUUAAGCAUUCGUCGAUCUGUCCGCCCCCAGUUUUUGGAUCGUCAAAUGCGUCAGAUCUCGAUGGAAAGAAACCGAAGGAGGCACGUCACCUUUGUGGUCUGUGUCUGGAAUUACUGCCUUUCGCGAUCACCGGCGCCAACUUAUACCUAAACAAUUGAAUGAAAGGACUCGGUGGUCGUUACAGCUUCUUAUCCAUGUGCCGCGUGUCGAUGUAGGAGGAGUCUGAGCUGCUGAUCUUUACAGAUCAGAGUGGAGUUCUCGGAUCUCCCCUGCACCUCGAUCAUUGCCAUGAGCUUCUCCGGUGCCAUCGCCUACCGUGCCACCGCGUCCAUCGUCGUCGCCCCUCUUCUCGUUUUGGUCGUCAUCUAUGCCUGCUUAUGGCCGCUUGGAGUACCCACAGCUUUCUUCCGCUUGCAACAUGGUGCAAAUACUGUAAGUUAAUCCACACAGAGUAUAUGUUGAACAGUACGCACAGAGAGCUCAGAAACUAGCUUGUAUUUUGCGUGUGGUCAGACGGAGAUUACCCCAAAAGAUGAACUGGAAGCAGCACUAGAGGGGGUCGCCAUGGAGAACAGGACUUUGAUCAUCGCGAUACUGAACAAGGCGUACGUGGAGCAGAACGCGAUGCUGGAUCUGUUCUUGCAAAGUCUUGGAGAAGGGGAGGACACAGAAUCCUUGAUCGACCACCUUCUUUUCGUCACCGUCGACCAGAGGGCCUUCAACAGAUGCCGCACCCUGGAGCUUCACUGUUACAAUCUCGUAACCGAGGGCGUCGACUUCUCCAAGGAGGUCUUCUACAUGUCUGAUGCAUUCAACAACAUGAUGUGGCGAAGAACUCUCUUCCUAGGAGAUGUCCUCCGGCGCGGAUACAACUUCAUCUUCACCGUAAGUCAUAGUAAACCAUCCUAGUGAUCGUAUGUUACUGCGACAUUUCUUAUGUUGUCCUUGCUAUCAGGAUAUGGAUGUCAUGUGGCUACGGAAUCCGUUCUCACAGUUGUCUCGUGAUGGAGAGGACCUUCAGAUGAGCAGUGACUUCUACUACGGCAAACCAUUCAAUAACUCCAACUUCAACACCGGUUUCUAUUUCGUGACAGCAAACAAGAAGACCGUAGCACUGUUCGACGAGUGGUAUGCGUGGAGGAACAACUCGAAAGGCAUGAAAGAACAAGAUGUGCUGCAGAAGAUGAAGAAGGAGGGAGCGUUCACGCGGCUGGGGCUGAAAGUGAGGUACCUGGAGACUACCUAUUUUAGUGGGUUCUGUCAAAUGAGUCGGGACUUGAGGAAAGUGAUUACGGUUCAUGCGAACUGUUGUGUCAGCAUGAAAGUUAAGCUCAUAGACCUGAGAUCUGUGCUUGAAGCUUGGAAGGUUAGCAACUCGAAUGGCACAUCAAAUGCUACUACGACUGCAUGGCCUCCGGUCAAGGGAAUCUGCUUGCACGACACUGCCACCAAGCAGCACACUGCCACAAAGCACUGAAGUGAACAAGG